rnacentral:rRNA from 1 species
UACGUAGGGUCCGAGCGUUGUCCGGAUUUACUGGGCGUAAAGAGCGCGCAGGCGGUCGAUCAAGUCGCGUGUGAAAGCCCCGGGCUUAACCUGGGAAUGGCAUUUGGGACUGCAAGGCUUGAGUGCGGCAGAGGAGACUGGAAUUCCUGGUGUAGCAGUGAAAUGCGUAGAUAUCAGGAGGAAUACCGAUGGCGAAGGCAGGUCUCUGGGCUGACACUGACGCUCAUGCACGAAAGCGUGGGAGC